rfam:Myotis lucifugus cont2.40516, whole genome shotgun sequence.
GGCUAUUCUCAGGUGAUGCACCCUGGAAUUGGGCUUCCUCCUCUGUGGUUCCAGGUGCAUCACCCACGAACCGCA